rnacentral:tRNA from 1 species
GCCAGGCUGGCUCAGUCGGUUGAGCAUCUGAUUUCAGCUCAGGUCAUGAUCUCAGGGUCCAUGAGUUUGAGUCCCGUGUCAGGCU